CAGAAGUUUGGAAACUCCCCAUGACUCGAAUAGUGGUGGUGGGAAAGAAGACCACCGUAAAUGACUUCCUGCACCACAGCAGUCUCCGCAACACCAUCCACGUUCUUUACUUAGGCCUCCAUCAUCAAGGAAAUACUACAACUGGUCGUCAUCUAAAGCUCUUCAAGACACUGCUCUUUCCAAGGCCACAAACAAGCCGCGUAAGUGUCUUUCGUCGGUGCCUCUACUGCAAGGAAGGACGAGCGCAUGUUGUGCUGCUUUUUGAUGAAAAUUCUGAUCGUCUGCCAUUACACACAGUUGACAAGAUAUUUGACGAAAACCAAUUGUCGGACAUGGAAGGACACCGAUUCCGAGUGGUUGGCCUGAGGCACUUCCCUUUCAUGGACUACGUGAAAGAUCGGGAAGAGCCGGGGAGCUCCAUUACUCUUCGUGAUUCGUUGGACACCAGACUUCUUCAUACUUUUGCUGCAUUGCUCAAUUUUACGUUUGAAGCACAUGAGCAAUGGGAGUGGGAAUGGGGAUUUCCAACGAACGGAAAAUUUAACGGCAUGAUGGGGGAAUUGCAACGAGAAGAAGUUGAUUUUUGCACCGUUUCGGCCCCGGUAUCAGAACGCAUUGGAACGGUCGGCUUUCUGAAGGGUUACCCGUCAGACGUGCUCAUCAUUACAUCUCUAAAACCUUCAUUCCUCCCUGAAAACCUGGCUUUGGUCCGACCUU